AAAUACAUAUUCUCAAGGGUAAGCGACUGAGCAUCUGCAUUGACUUUAUGGCAAAUCUAUUGCUUUGAUUGCCAUUCUAGUUGUUAAAUCACAAUAGUUUUCUUGCCCAGUAGUUUUCUUACUGGGUUGUUCUUAGAAAGUUAGCAUGUCUGCUGUAUUUGGGGUAAUUUAUAGCAAUGUUCACUAAUACUAUUCUUUUUUUGGUCAUGAAACUUGAAUUUGGCCAUUCUUAUUACUGAGCGUCCCAUUCAUUUCAGUCUGCCCAAUCUAAUAAGAAUUAAGCCAAAAAGACACUGCAAAUUUUUAUGAGAAGUCCAUGUCAGA
rnacentral:misc_RNA from 1 species